AGGGGAUCGGCGCAAGCCGGUCCCCUCGGUGUUUGUACGCGUUCGUGUCACGGCGACGAGUGCGAUUCCAAACCGCACGAAGGCGGUUCGACUCCGUCCGGGCCUGCCA
rnacentral:tRNA from 1 species